rnacentral:lncRNA from 1 species
GGCGCUUUUCCCUGGUCGUGGGAUCUCCUUUGUGAUUCAGCCACUGGUGCCCAGCCCAGCACUAGCUUGCCGUGAUCACCGUCACUGCUAACAAAUGUUUCUGUGAUGCUCUCAGUAAGUGUGUGGCUUGUAGCCAAUGUUCUCUGGAGACUGGCCCAGGAGGAGCAAGGAAUGAGGACUGAGGAGAGGGAACAGCUGUUGAGAUCCAGUCCAGGAAUUUAUAACAGACAUUCCUUUCUUGCGUGGUCUUUCUUCCCUGAUGUCCAGAGUUCAGUUUCUUCCAGUUCCCGCUGUGGUUGAGAAUUCAGAAUUCCAUCAUCACCUAACUUCUUUUGAAGGGGCACAGAGGAGAGGCCAUGUGAGGGCACAGCGAGAAAAGGACCAUCGGCAAGCCAGGAAGAGAGGUCCACCAGAAACCAAUCCUGUCAGCACUUCCAGCCUCCAGAAUGGAAAUGUCCUGGAGAAGCAAGUGGAUACAGACUCUGCCCUCAGGGAGCUUCUCCCAACAGAGAAGCGAGGAGGGGGCCGGCGGAAAACAUCAUAUUAUCAACCUGCGCCCAGGGCGCAUGGCCAGCUUUGUUGCACCUGCUGCUCAGGGGCUCAGCCCAGAGUGCUCAGUGUCCGGACACGAGCAUUGGCGAUCACCCGCGAGGCCGCCAGACCCGCAGAGAGUGAAUCCUGCUGUGACAUGAACACCGGCCUCCAAACCAGUGGGACUUGAUUCAGCCUCCCGCUUGCCUGAGGCCUCAGGUUAUUAUUGCAGGUGAAAAGGCCUUUUAUUGACAGAAUGAACUGAGAGGUAAGAGCUGGACCGUGCUAUCCCUGGAGAGAAAAUAUUUGUGCUUAAUUGGAAAAUGCAAACUUUUCUGCCUUCUGUGCCCUCUGGCACACUCUCUAGGCUGGAGGCAAGACCAGAUGGCAGGGAAUUGCCUUUCUGCCCCGUUCAACUGGACCACUACACAUCGUUGCCUUCUGUAUAGACAGCAGCACAUCUUUGCCCUCCUGAAAGCCGACUCUGGUGAUGAGAGGCUCGGUGUCCUCACUGGCCCAUACAGCACCCUCCAGGUCCC